rnacentral:lncRNA from 1 species
AUGGAGCAGAUCUCCACGCUGCGGCCCCCCCCGUGGGUGGAGGAGCCCCCGGUGGAGCAGGUGGAUGUGGCCUGGAGGAGGCUGCGGCCCAUGGAGAGCACCCUCAUCUCUGCUGGGACCUCAGAGCAAAUGGAGAGACAGAGCAUGCAGUUGAAGGCAGUGAUGAGCAUUGUGUGUCCUGCAGGUUCAGUGGACACCAGCAGGUGUGGUGGCACUCAUGUAGUUCUGGUUCCCAUCAUGAUGACUGAGCUGAGGCUCUCGUCCUCAACAUGGCAUUUAAUUCUGGACCGUCCAUCAGUGUCAUCCAUCAGAUAUUAUUCCCUGCUGUUCAUGGAAGAUUGGCACCCUCACUUCCACAGUGCUCCCCUCCUCCACCACCAUCACUUCAUACGUGUGUGCUCUGUGCAGGACCCUUCCCAGCGCAUCUCUGAUCUCUUUCAAGUGACCCCAGCAGAAAAGGCCCUUGCCUCACACGGCUCUCAGCGCCCUACAGGACACUGACCAAACUGAGCCACCGCACACUCCUGGCCGCUCCUUCCCAACACGCUGCCGGACAUUUGUCCACACUCUCCAGGACAGGUAACAUCAGCCCGACCCACACCCUGCCACGCUCCCAUAGCAAGCAGCCAGGUGACACGCUCAGGCCAGGAUGGCAGGGACAGCUCCAUCAGGAAGACAGGACACGGACAGCCUCGGUGCGACGCUAGAGACCCUCGGGCAGAGAGGCAGGGGCUGCCCGUGGUCACAGGGGGAUGCUGCUCCGUGUGUUCCUUCUCUCAUUAAAGCCAGACUCAGACAGCAAUGGGACCAGAUCACAGCAGACUCCUGCGCUCUCCCCAAGGACUACUCUGCUGGAAGGAAGAGCUGCCAAC